rnacentral:rRNA from 1 species
UACGUAGGGGGCGAGCGUUGUCCGGAUUCAUUGGGCGUAAAGAGCUCGUAGGCGGCUUGGCAAGUCGGAUGUGAAAACUCCAGGCUCAACCUGGAGCCGCCAUUCGAUACUGCUAUGGCUAGAGUCCGGUAGGGGAGUGUGGAAUUCCCGGUGUAGCGGUGGAAUGCGCAGAUAUCAGGAGGAACACCAAUGGCGAAGGCAGAUCUCUGGGCCGUAACUGACGCUGAGGAGCGAAAGCAUGGGGAGCGAACAGG